rnacentral:rRNA from 1 species
UACGUAGGGUGCGAGCGUUAAUCGGAAUUACUGGGCGUAAAGCGUGCGCAGGCGGUUUUGUAAGCCAGAUGUGAAAUCCCCGGGCUUAACCUGGGAAUGGCAUUUGGGACUGCAAGGCUGGAGUUUGGCAGAGGAGACUGGAAUUCCUGGUGUAGCAGUGAAAUGCGUAGAUAUCUGGAGGAACACCGGUGGCGAAGGCGGCAUCCUGGACCGGUAUUGACGCUGAGGAGCGAAAGCCAGGGGAGCAAACGGG